AGAGUUUGAUCGUGGCUCAGAACGAACGCUGGCGGCAUGCCUAACACAUGCAAGUCGAACGAGACCUUCGGGUCUAGUGGCGCACGGGUGCGUAACGCGUGGGAAUCUGCCCUUGGGUUCGGAAUAACUCGCCGAAAGGCGUGCUAAUACCGGAUGAUGUCGUAAGACCAAAGAUUUAUCGCCCAGGGAUGAGCCCGCGUAAGAUUAGGUAGUUGGUGAGGUAAAGGCUCACCAAGCCGACGAUCUUUAGCUGGUCUGAGAGGAUGAUCAGCCACACUGGGACUGAGACACGGCCCAGACUCCUACGGGAGGCAGCAGUGGGGAAUAUUGGACAAUGGGCGAAAGCCUGAUCCAGCAAUGCCGCGUGAGUGAUGAGGGCCUUAGGGUUGUAAAGCUCUUUUACCCGGGAUGAUAAUGACAGUACCGGAGAAUA
rnacentral:rRNA from 1 species